AUGAAAAUUAUGAUGAAUGUGCACAUUUUUGUUUAACAUUAUAACUUGAAAACCUGUAAUCACAAAUUAAUUCUGUUAAAAUCUAUUCAAACACAUACUAAAUUACAGGCAUUUAAACACACACGAAGGGUACCGCACAAGCUAAUCUGGGACGACACUUCACGCACAUUCAAUAAAACCGUUUCAUAGAGCGCGGUUUCUACACAUGUACGGGCCGCUUUAUAGCAAUCGCAAUUUUUUUCAAGUAUCACUUGUCAUUUCAACUAAGACUAAGGGCGUAAAUGGUACAAUGGCCGGAACGCACAAGGCUGUAUUGUUUAUUUUGCUUACAGCCCACUUGUUACUAGGAUCUUUGACUAGGAAGUCUUAAACAUUCCACCAAUCCCAACCGUCAAAGUGGUGUACGUGCGGAGCAGACGUUCGACAAGUUUAGCCAUCUUGCAGUAGGUUAAGUGCAGAGGAGUGAAAUUGGUUGGCGAACGGUGACAAGCUUCUAUCAUCGACGAGAAAAAACCCACUUGUUACUCGGAUCUUUGACUAGGAAGUCUUAAACAUUCCACCAAUCCCAACCGUCAAAGUGGUGUACGUGCGAAGCGAACGUUCGACAAGUUUAGCCAUCUUGCAGUAGGUUAAGUGCAGAGGAGUGAAAUUGGUUGGGGAACGGUGACAACCUUCUAUCAUCAACGAGAAAAAAGUGUUCCUGAUUAUCUUACAGUCACACAUGCUUUAGACAUUCGUUUAAACCAUUGAAUACAAAGGAGGAAUAUUUCAUGUACUUGACAAAAUACAACGAUGCGUCUAUUCAACGAAGCUGAAUGCAGUUUAUGAAAAAUAAAUCGUUUGUCGAUAAAGACUAUUUGUGUGGACACAAGUUUACUUUUGUUCAUUAAGUUUGAUGAAAAACACUUAUUCAGGGUGUUCAUGCCGUUUCUUUUCGUUUGGCAAAAGCAAUACAGUUACCAUGUCUGAUGAACAUCACCCGUCUGAACAGUCAGGAAAGUUUGCCGACGAAAUCACGAUACGAUUUGAAGACUGCGACGAACAUCUGUAUGUUUCUAAAACGUUACUUGGACAUGCAUCACUGGUCUUUCUAAGGAUGUUCCAAUGCGAUUUAAAAGAAGCAAAUACAUCCGUAUUAGAUAUCAAAGACUCCAGCAGAGAGGACUUUCUGGAAUUUUUGCUUUGCAUUGAUCCAGGGACAAUGAAGGAUGUGACAAGUGAAAACGUCUUCCGUGUCGUGACCAUUGCACAUAAAUACGACGUAAGAGCCUUGGUAAACCGGUGCAAGAACAUCAUGGAUACAAUGCUUAAGGAACCCCUUAAAAUAGAAACGACUCCGCCAGAUGCAUUCGACAACUCAAAAGCAGCGUUAAUAAGGCAACUAUACUUGUUUCUAAAAAUAUGUCGGGUUGCGAUUUCUUUUAAUUGGUCUGAGACAGCAAAUGAAGCAUUUAGAUGCACGACAAAGGCCUCUUCCCUUUGCGAUCUAAAUUCGUUUAAACUACCCCAGAUCAUUCCAGGAAACACACAGGACGAAGAACACGUAAGUGCUAUGAUUUUUAAUGCCCUUCCACGUGACGUCAGCCUACUGAUUUUGCAUAUAAUGCCACCUGGCUGGGGUUGAGCAUAAUUGGCCUUUUUUAAAUUGUCGGUUUAAAAGAACAUGAAAGACAAUGUAUGUACAUAUAUUGUUGAGUAAAUCGACAUAUUAGCUGUUAUCAAUCAACUGUGUACAUAAAGUGUGUAUAUUAAUUCAUGCCUUUGUAUUGCUUAGGUUAUACACGUUCAUUAAGUUUCGCAGAUUUUUAGUGAAUCUUAAUAAAGAGGAUUGUUAUUAAACAGAUAUAUAAGUUGUUGAGUUAAUUCCAAUAUCAAGAAAAUCUAGUUUUGCUGAAACAAUUUGCUAUUAUUUGUUGAUCGUUCUUCGUUAUUUCAUCGACAAAAAUAUGCUAGGAAUUCUACAUUCUAAUACGAGUUUUGCUAUACACGUAUAGAUAAAUCAAUCAUUCAAAAACUAUAAUAUUGCUAGAGUUUUAUAUUUUACUAUUUGUUGUUAAAAAAUAUGUGUAGUUUUACCUUUUUAGUAUUGUUUUAAAUAACAUUCUUCACACUUUGUCGCAUAGAAAUGAAAAUUAUAUUAUCUGUUCUUUGUUAGUAAAUUUAUAUCAAUAGCCUUGUUCGAGUGGGAAUUAUUAAUAAAAACAGGACCAGGAAAGUUCUGUAAUGUUGAA